rnacentral:lncRNA from 1 species
AAGAUCUAUUCAUAGUUGGUCAGUCCCCCACGGCAGGGCUUCUCGCUUUUCAUGAAUGUGUCUCCCCCUCUGCUUAUGUGAGUUUUACCCGCCUUUUACUCUGCUUGCUUCUGACUCCCUAUGAGCCCUUACUUUUUCGGAGGGUCGGCGGGACAUGGGAGCCUCAGCUCAUGCAUCGGUUUACCGAAAUAACCUCUUCUCUCCCACUUCCUUCUAUUCAAAAGGCGAGCAGCCCUUAAACAAAAAGGCCUAAGAGGGUUCUUCUUUUUAUAUAUUACAUAAGCCCUAAAGUAGGUAGCCCCGAAAGCCGAACUCAGCAGAGUGGGUUUUGGCGUGUAUCUCCCCCUCUACUUAUGUGAGUUUUACCCGCCUUUUACUCUGCUUGCUUCUGACUCCCUAUGAGCCCUUACUUUUUCGGAGGGUCGGCGGGACAUGGGAGCCUCAGCUCAUGCAUCGGUUUACCGAAAUAACCUCUUCUCUCCCACUUCCUUCUAUUCAAAAGGCGAUCAACCCUUAAACAAAAAGGCCUAAGAGGGUUUUUCUUUAUAUAUUACAUAAACCCUAAAGUAGGUAGCCCCGAAAGCCGAUCUCAGUAGAGUAGGUUUUGGCUUACCCCUUUCUAUCUAAUUCGUCAAACCUAAACGUCCUUAUUUCAAAAACAUAGCUUGUCGAUGCCCCCUUUUCCGGCUGAAAGAAGCAAAAUCGUGUUUACGACAUUAUGGACAAAACAACUCUUAUUCCCGUUUGGGAAUUGGGUAUUGGAAUUUGGAGAGUCGCCACCUAAUGAUUAUAGUGCAAUAUGACACUUUUAAGAAGAAGAGAGUAUUUUUUGAAAGAAAACCAGAGUUAGGAUAAAGGCUUGAAAUUAUCUUGAGGGGAAGGUGUUGUGGUUCCUGACCGUGCUAAUGUGACUUUAAUGGGUAACAAGGCAAAUAAACAAGUAAGAUUCGCAUAUAGAGCAUUCAAACAACUUGAGAAUUUUGAAAAGGGGAAAGGAAUAAUUUAAAAGCAGAAGGGAGGAUUAAUUUGAAAGACAUUACUUUAGGAAAAAUGUUUAAAUAAAGCAAGCAAAAGAGAAAGAGGUCCUAGGUUUGACUAUAAUAUGGAUCAUUCGAUACAAUAUCCCGCACAUAUUCCCAAAGAGGGGUCUCUUUAUAAUAUUAUCGCAUCGUCAUCAUCUCCAUAUUCUACCCUUCCCACCCCGUUAAGGUACUUAUAUGCGUUUGAUCUCGUUUACUUAUUACAUGCUAGUACCAAUCCCAACCUAUUAGUCCCGGGGUAUUAGGACUUCUAAUCUUAAGAGGGGGAGAGAAAGAUAGGACAUAUAUGGAGUUUUCAAACGUAAAAUACUAAGCAUCAACCAAAACAAAUAGCAUAUAAAGGUAUACAAAUUAGACAUUCAAAGGCUCAUAUAAAACCUCGUAAGCCAUAAAAACAAUUAGUCUAGCAUGACUUACAAAUACUCAUGUGGUCUUAAUAUUAAAGCUGAUCGCGAAUAGAUUAGCUAAACACAUAAAGCUGGAUAAUAAAUCUUCUUUGAGCCCCUCGGGUCUGGUUAUUAGAACUUGGAAUGAUUUAAAACCAGUAAUUUCAGAGAAAAAUAUUAGCUUCAGAAGUGGAUUUGUAAAGAGAAUUUAGAGUCUGCAAAAAGUUCAACAAUGGUUUACAAACUAGCCAGACUGCUUAAAAAAAGUUUUCAAAAGAGCCCUGAGGCUUAAACUUAGGCAUGCAAAGUUAAUUCUUAAAACUGUAGGUUUGGCAUUUUAAAAGACUCUAUAGGUUCAGGAUGACAUAAAAGAGGCAGACUUGGCCCGUUUUUAAAAAAUAGACAGAUUUAGGGAAAACUGUAUUGAAAACAUUUAACAAAUCAGGCGAUGCUAAAAACCUCAUAGGCAGGAUACAUUGAUCUUAUCACUUUUAGUUCUUUUAAAGGGGCCUACGGAUUGCCUAACAUUUUUAUGCGAUUCCUAUAGACAUGGUUUCUAGGUGUGAUGCAAUAUGUAAAUCUUAUAUGCAUAAUUUCUAAAUGAGAUGCAACAUUAAAAAGCCUAUAGGCAUGAUUUCUAUAUGAGAUGCAAUAUGUAAACUUAUAGGCAUAAUUUCUAAAUGAGAUGCAACAUUGAAAAGCCUAUAGGCAUGAUUUUAUAUAUGAUAUGCAAUAUAUAAAUCUUAUAAGCAUAAUUUCUAUAUGAUUGAUGCAAUAUUGAAGACCUAUAGGCAUGAUUUCUAUAUAAUUGCAAUAUCGAAAACCUAUAGGCAUAAUUUCUGAAUGAGAUGCAAUAAUGUAAACCUUAUAGGCAUAAUUUCUGUAUGAUUGAUGCAAUAUUGAAGACCUAUAGGCAUGAUUUCUACAUGAUUGCAAUAUCGAAAACCUAUAGGCAUAAUUUCUAAAUGAGAUGCAAUAAUGCAAGCCUUAUAGGCAUAAUUUCCAUAUGAUUGAUGCAAUAUUGAAGACCUAUAGGCAUGAUUUCUAUAUAAUUGCAAUAUCGAAAACCUAUAGGCAUAAUUUCUGAAUGAGAUGCAAUAAUGUAAACCUUAUAGGCAUAAUUUCUGUAUGAUUGAUGCAAUAUUGAAGACCUAUAGGCAUGAUUUCUACAUGAUUGCAAUAUCGAAAACCUAUAGGCAUAAUUUCUAAAUGAGAUGCAAUAAUGCAAGCCUUAUAGGCAUAAUUUCCAUAUGAUUGAUGCAAUAUUGAAGACCUAUAGGCAUGAUUUCUAUAUAAUUGCAAUAUCGAAAACCUAUAGGCAUAAUUUUUGAAUGAGAUGCAAUAAUGUAAACCCCUCCCAUAUCUUUUUCACUAUAUCCCCAAAUUCUUUGUACAAGGAUGGUUUACAUAAUGAAACAAAAAUGCUAAGGAAAUAAAUACAUCAAAGUUAAACAGACCCGAGGAAGCCCAAAGCAAACUUAAUGUCCAACAUAUGCAUUUUAAUAAAUCCAGGCUCCAAAUUCCAAGGCUUUCUCUUAGAGUGUUUCAACGUUCCAAAGGAAUUCAGGGGAAACCCAGGCAAUGCUUACACCCUAAAUGAUUAGAGUAGUGCAAAGUGUGGAAUUACCAGCCCUCAAGCAUCCAAGUUCAGAGGAGACUCGGGGUCCCUAAGCAUGGCUUACCAGAGGGGGUAGGACUUAAAGAACUUAAGAGUAGGUGUAAAAGUGAAGGAUUAUAGGAAGACCAAUGCAAAGGUGGUCAUACCUAGCCAUGAAUGGGACUGGCACACCCCUGACCCUUUGCACGAUUUAACAAAAAGAGCAGAUUUGAAAUAAGUCAAACUUACGCCUGUAUGGUGAUUAGGACACCAACAGACCUGAGUCAAAGCUCAACACAUAAUGGGGGGUUAUAAUGGUUUAACAAAUAAGAGCAGACUUGAAAUAAGUCAGACUUAAGACUGUAUGGUGAUUAAGACACCAAUAGACCUGAUUCAAAGCUCAACAUAAUGGGGGUUAAAGGAGUGGGAUUACUUUGAGUAUAGGUUGAGAACAACCUGGUUCUAAACCAGGAUAGCAAUGGAGUGCCAUCCUAAUCUAAAACACAACUCAUACACAAACAGGGUUUAGGGAGUAGGGAUCACAUGAGAACAUUUGCAACAAUCAGAAUUAAACUAGAAAGAUUUGGGAAAGAGAUGUACAUGAAUGUAAUAAUACACAUUCAUAACAUCAAAAGCAUGGGGAUAUGGGGUAGGGAUGUGCAUGCUGAAAUUUAACUACACACUGAACAUACAGGAAUGUAAUCAUACACAUAUAUAACAUCAAAAAUAUGGGGAGAUGGGGUAGGGAUGUGCAUGCUGAAAUUUAACUACAUAAUGAACAUAAACAAACAUGGGGGAAGGGGUAAGUAAACUUAUAUUUUAGAGUUUAUGUAAAUCAGGAACCUACCAGUUGUAAAACUCAAACAGUAGAGCAAAUAGGGCAGGUGAGACCUUAUAGUUUAGCCUUGGCUUUCAGCCGCCUAAACUCGAGCAGUAGAACAAGUAACAGAGAAGAAUAGAGAAGAGAACAAACAGUUUUGGGUGAGUGAAACUUAGGAUUGUUCGUGUGUUGAAGUGAAAAGAGGUGGGGGAUUUUAUAGCUUGAAAGUAAGCAAUCAACAAGGCAAGAAAAUAAUUUAACUUCAAUCAUGAUCAAUUAGGGAAAGGGUUUCCUCUAAUUAAGGAACCGGGCUUGAGGUAAAUCAACCAAGCUUUAUUUUUAGGAAGAGAAUCAAGAAUAAGUUAUAAAAUACAGGGUAAAUACGUGUAAGGGUUUUGAAAUUCACACGGUUUGACACAUAAGGCAAGUCAAUCACAUAGAGAAUCAAGGAAUUUGAGAUACAAAUUGAUACUGAGCUUAGUCAAAGAGCAGGUCCCAAUUAAAGAAUCAAAUAAGUUUUUAAGAAAUAAAUUUUCCCAAAAUUAGGGUUAUUCAGAAAGGGGAAAAAUAUGACUAUAUAAAGAGGUGCACAAAUUCGAACAUGCAAGACUGGAAUUGGUAGAACAAAUUGCGUAAUCAAAGAGCAGAAGCACAUAGGUAAGAGAUAAGAAGCAGCUAGGGUUUACAUACGUAGCAAGCAAUUUCACAGAGAGAAAUGGAAAACCUCCUAAAACUUAUGGUUUUUCAUCACAUACCGAGUGUAAAGAAGAAGCACAGAUGAAGAUGAACUUAGGAAGAUCAGCAUAUGGAAAAAUAGAGAACAAAGUAAAAUAUUUAACUCGGAAACCCUAGAAAUACCACAGUAAAGAAAAUACAUAGGAUCCAUAGUAUAAAAUACUCAGAAAUCAUAGUAAAGUUUGAAAGAAAUCACAAUAGAGCAGAUAAAGCAAAGAAAUUGAAGAAGCCCUAAAUUUUAGGACGACGAACAGUUUGAAGACAAAGUCGGCGAAGAAAUGUGAGAGAUACUUUGAAACUUUAGAAAAUAACUAGGAUCUAGAGUAGAUCGUGAAGAUAAACACAGAGAAAACCUUGAAAAUUAGGGUUUCAGAGAGAGAACUAUACAGACACGAGAAAGCCUGGAACAGACUGAUUCUGAGUCGUCAAUGGACUCACAACAUCAAAGCUUGCCAGAGAGAGACCAGACAUGGCCGUAAAACUCCAGUCAGAGGACCUCUGAGUCGAUAGUCUUCGAGAUAGGACUUCGAUCUUCGAACAAAAGAACCAUAUGAGGUAGGGAUAGGUGAGUACAGGUGUUUUGAAGCUUGAGAAGCCAUAAUGCCAGUGAAACGGAGCCGGAGAAGGGCUAGGGUUCAGAAGGGGUUGAGAACGUCUUGGGGAUGAGGGGAUAGAAGGGCGGCUGAAUGUAGAGAAUGAGUAGGGUUUUGGGGGGGGGGGGGGGUUUGGUUUAGUUAUGGGGAGCCAUAGUAUAAAAUACUCAAAAAUCAUAGUAAAGUUUGAAAGAAAUCACAAUAGAGCAGAUAAAGCAAAGAAAUAGAAGAAACCCUAAAUUCCUAGGAAGACGGGCAGUUUGAAAACAAAGUCGGUGAAGAAAUGUGAGAGAUAUUUUGAAACUUUGGAAAAUAACUAGGAUCUAGAGUAGAUCGUGAAGAUAAACACAGAGAAAACCUUGAAAAUUAGGGUUUCAUAGAGAGAACAAUAGAGACACGAGAGUUGCUUGAACGGACUGAUUUUGAGUCAUCAAUGGACUCACAACAUCAAAGCUUGCCGGAGAGAGACCGUACAUGACCAUAAAAGUCCAGUCGAAGGACCUCUGAGUCAAUAGUCUACAAUAUAGGGCUUCGAUAUUCAAAAAAAAAGAACCAUAGGAGGUAGGGAGAGGUGAGUACAAGUGUUUUGAAGCUUGAGAAGCCAUAGACGCAGGUGAAACGGAGCCGAAGAAAGGCUAGGGUUCAGAAGGGGAUUAGAGCGUUUUGAGGGUGAAGGGAUACAAGGGUGGCUGAGUGUAGAGAAUGAGUAGGGUUUGGGGGGGGGGUGUUUGGUUUAGUUAUGGCAGGCUUCAUGUGGACCGUUGAUCUUAAUGAUCAACGGCCAUGAUUUAAAGUGGGAACGGGGCAAGUUAAUUUGGAUAGGAUUGGAUCGGGUAAUUUCAAAAUUAGGUAGUGUAAUUGGGGGUUAAAUUGGGUUAUAAUUAAAAUAAAAAGGGGCUACGAUUUAAAUAACCAUUUCCCCAAUUUGAAUUUUAUAAAAUAGUAAAUGAUACUAUAAAAAUCAAAUUAAAAUAGUGGGUUAAUAAAUAAUGUAUAAGUAUUAAUUUAAAAAUAUUAGAAACGAUUUUUUAAAAUACUUAUUAAAUCGAGAAAUAGGCUAAAAUUGCAAUUUCAUGCAAUUUUAGUUUUAUAAAUACCUAAUGAACUUGUGAAAUUAUGUAAAAAAUUAUGUAAAUUAUAUUUUUAUGUAAAUGAGAGGAUAAAAUACAUUACUCAGAAAAAUAACAAAGUUUUGGGACUAAAUAUUGGAUUUUAUAGUGCAAAAUAAGUCAUAAAUUGAUUUUAAAAAUCUUGAAAAAUGUAGAAAAAUGCCAAAACCUUUGUGGAUGCUUACGUAUGCAUCAUAUGCUAUUUUGAGAAUACUUUGAGUAUAGAAAUAUAUGGAGAAAAAUUGGGUAUCAACAGCGCUAACACUCUAUCUAUAGUAAGGGGCCUUUUCAAUUUCAUCUCCCACUUGAUUUCGGAUAGUCAAAUAUAAAGACUCUUUGUUAGCUCUUCGUGCCUCCUUGACUUCUCAAACUGAAAUAAUACUGUCCAACUAUAGGUAUAGCCGGAAGGAGCUCUUUUUGUAUUGAAAGUGUUUUUAAAUAGCAAUCCAUCACGUCGAAAAUAAGACUUAGGGUAAACGAACGAUUCAAGCUCCUUAUAGAAGGUAGUUCAGCUUGAUAACUCGAUAAGCUAUAGUGACAUAACAAAAUCACUCUUUCAAAGGUAGGAUCAAUCCCAACCUAUUAUUCUUAGCCUAACAGUCUAUUCAUGGAAGUAAAUUUAUCCAAAAAGUUUCCUUACUAGACCUAACUUCCUGUCAUCGCUUUCAGAUACAUGGAAGUUGGUCUAGUUAGUAGACCAGCUAUCUCAUGCUCUCUCUCUCUCUCUCUCAAACCCAACCAAAUGAGCACAUCUAGUUGAAAGACUCUCAUUCUUAUUUAGAAUGGGAAGAUUUUUCAGUUCGUAAAAGCUUAAGCUUAAGAGCUUUAUCCAUAAGUAAUGAGAGGAGACUUUUAGAAAAACCUCAUGCCUUCUCUGGAGACAGAGAUCUUACUGCUACCUCCGAGUCUGACAAUCUAGUCUUCUAGGCUUUUCGCUUUUAGAAUCCUCUUUCUCUCUGACCCUCUUUCCUUCUCUCUAGACGGAGAUCUUACUGCUACCUCAGAGUCUGACAAUCUAGUCUUCUAGGCUUUUCGCUUUUAGAAUCCUCUUUCUCUCUGAUCCUUCGUGCGUUCUUUAUCCUAUUCCGAUUCGAUUUAGCUUUCUUUUAGUUGCUAUAUCUUU